GUCUGUUCAAGUCCUAUGCUCCCACACCAAAAUUGGGAGUGUCUAAAACAAAACAUUCAAAUUCAACAUUCUUUAAUGGGAAAAAAAAUCAAGAAAAGGCACACAUAAUACCAUAGUAUAUUCUGGCUGAAUUACAUUUGAAGACUUUGGCUUCAAAAGGGCCCUUCCACGGCACUGUUAGAAAGAUUAUGCUGUCUUUUUAUACCUAGCACCUUUACUGUCUUCAAUCAUGAAAUUAGAUACCAUUUAAUAGUUAAAGAUAUGAUAAUUUAAUAAUAAAAUUUGAGACUCCAAAAUUUAACCAGGAAAGCAAAUUGGAAUUCCAGAAAAGUAUACCAACUGUCAACAUUUCAGAAAUAUUCUCUUUGUCUUCUUAGUAAUAAUAAUCUUUAUAAAAUCAUUGUUCUAAUAUAGAAACAGGCAAUUUACUACUUCUACCAGAAAUACUCAUAUUGUUUUAGUAUCAGGUAUAUUCUACUCAUGUUUCUUAGAACUUCAGGAAAUUAUUCAAGAAGAGAGGCAUGGUGGUAUGCUGGAAAGUCUGCUGAGCUUGAAAGUAGGUAACCCAGGCUCCUGUUCCUGUUCUCAUUGAUGAGUUCCCUGACUUCAGGUGAGUCACAGCUUCUCUGGACUUUCAUGUCCUUUUGCAAAGUGAGUCUGAUCAUUUCUAGGAUCUUUUCCAGCCCUGAGAUUGUAUGAGCUGCAAUAGCUAAGAGAUAUGGGAAAGUGGGUCAUUGGAAAGUUGUUUUCCUAACUCCACAGGCAACAAUGUGCCUCAUUCUUAGUCAUCAAAGGCAAAUACGAAGGGAUGGGAAGCACUCUCUUCACUGUCCAUUUGCAAGCAGAAUCACUCUUCACUUGAUUGUCCAGUGUCUGUAUAGUCUCUCACAGAGCCCAGCACAUGUGGGCAUUCUGUAAAUGGCCAUUGAGAACUGCCAGGUCUGUGGCUGCUACAGAGCACAAUGAUGAUGAUAAUGGUGUUGAUGAUCAUGAUGAUGAUGGGCUGGUGUAUCGAGGCACAGACCCAAGGAAGGCUAAUGAGAAUGUUUCUAGGGAAGCUUCCUGCAUGUCACUCUUCUUCCUUCUACUUCCUCUAGGUUCAUCUUCCCUGACUAACAGGGAGCCAGGGCUAUAAUAACGGGAAGGAAGUCAUCAUGUGAUUCUACCUAGAAACGCAGGCAUCAACUUGAAAUGUUUUCUCUUUCUCUUGUAACUCUGGAAUAUGGCUCCUUGGAUUGGAGGUGGCAAAUACCACGGGUUAAACAAUGUCAUUCUGAGCUCUUUUAGUACUGAAUAAUGCAAUAUAUACCAUAUUCUACCCUCUUAAAGAAGGAGUGUAUCAGCUAUGUGCCUGAUAUGGUUUGGCUCUAUGUCCCCACCCAAAUCUCAUCUUGUAGCACCCAUAAUUCCCAGGUUUUGUGGGAGGGACCCGGUGGGAGAUGAUUGAAUCAUGGGGGCUGGUCUUUCCUGUGCUGGUCUUCUGAUAGUAAAUGGGUCUCACAAGAUCUGAUGGUUUUUGAAAACAGGAGUUUCUCUGCAUGAGCUCUCUCUGCCUGCUGCCAUCCACUUAAGAUGUGACUUGCUCGUCCAUCGCCUUCUGCCAUGAUUGUGAGGCCUCCCCAGCCACGUGGAACUUAGCUCAGGACAGCAACCAGACCUGAGAUUCUUUUCAACUUAUACGCUGUUGAUGAAUGUGGUUUCUGGAUGAAAAACUGAGAACAGACUGACCCUCUGGCCACAGCUACUCGCGUCAGGGACGCAUAGUUGCAGGUGCAUGCUGUCUGGUUUGGUUUGCCAAGUCAAAAUAGUUGUGUUUCCCGCUGUGGUGAGAGUUUCCAACUUCAGAC
rnacentral:lncRNA from 10 species